AGCGAACGCUGGCGGCAGGCUUAACACAUGCAAGUCGAACGGCAGCACCGUACGUGCUUGCUGUUACGGGUGGCCAAACGCGGACGUAUGACGAAUAUAACCGAAUCUACUCUUUCGUGUAGGUUAACGUAGGGAAACCUACGCUAAUACCGCAUCCGACCUACCGGUGAAAGCAGGGGAUCUUUUCACCGUGCGCGAUUGAACGCGCCGCUGUCGGAUUAGUUAGUUGGCGGGGUAAUGGCCAACGCUGGAGCCGAUCCGUAGCCGGAGGGAGAGGACGGUCGGCCACACGGGAGCUGAGACGCGGACCAGACUCCUACGGGAGGGAGCAGUGGGGAAUAUUAGACAAUGGGCGCAAGCCUGAUCCAGCGAUAGCGCGUGGGUUAAGAAGGCGUUGGGGUUGUGAAGCCCUUUUGUUGGGAGAGAAAAGCAGCAGGUUAAUACGCCGCUGUUCUGACGGUACCCAAAGAAGAAGCACCGGCUAACUUCGUG
rnacentral:rRNA from 1 species